rnacentral:rRNA from 1 species
AGUGAACGCUGGCGGCGUGCUUAACACAUGCAAGUCGAACGAGAACGGAAUAUAGCUUGCUAUAUUUGUCAGCUAAGUGGCGCACGGGUGAGUAAUGUAUAGAUAACCUGCCCUUAAGAAAGGAAUAACAGUUGGAAACGACUGCUAAUGCCCUAUAUGCCUUUAAUACAUAAGUAUGCAAGGGAAACGCUUUAGUGCUUAAGGAUGGGUCUGUAUGGUAUCAGCUUGUUGGUGAGGUAAUGGCUCACCAAGGCUAUGACGCCUAACUGGUUUGAGAGGAUGAUCAGUCACACUGGAACUGAGACACGGUCCAGACUCCUACGGGAGGCAGCAGUGGGGAAUAUUGCACAAUGGACGAAAGUCUGAUACAGCAACGCCGCGUGGAGGAUGACACAUUUCGGUGCGUAAACUCCUUUUAUAUAGGAAGAUAAUGACGGUACUAUAUGAAUAAGCACCGGCUAACUCCGUGCCAGCCGCCGCGGUAA